rnacentral:rRNA from 1 species
UACGUAGGCAGCGAGCGUUGUUCGGAAUUACUGGGCGUAAAGAGUGUGUAGGCGGUGCUCCCAGUCUGUUGUGAAAUCUCCCGGCUUAACUGGGAGGGUGCAGCGGAAACUAGAGUGCUAGAGGGUGGGAGAGGUAAGCGGAAUUCCUGGUGUAGCGGUGAAAUGCGUAGAUAUCAGGAGGAACACCGGUGGUGUAAACGGCUUUCUGGACCAUAACUGACGCUGAGGCGCGAAAGCGUGGGUAGCAAACAGG